AUGUUUUAUACUAUGUUUAUGGGAAUAAAUGUAGUUUACCACCCAAUCGAUUUUUUGGUAAUUUUUUUUUUUAAUGUGUUUUUGGCAUGCUUAAUUUGAUGGUACUUUCAAAAAGUUGCUCAAACGUCCUUAAUAAAGUUAUGGUUAAAACAUUUUAAAUCCUCGAUAUUUUCAAAAAUUGUGUUUUUUUAGUUUAAAUGCCAUAAAUUUGUAUUUUUGGAAAUUUGUAUUUUGGAAUUGUUGGAAUUUAUAUACUCAACAUUUGGUGAAAUCUGAAUGUACCUGUCAGACUACUAGAAAAAAAGUUCUUGUCAAACGUACUGGCGGUUGAUGACUCCGCCCACCACGAGGCGUUCAACAUGUUGUACCGCCACCUGCAUAUUUUGAAAGCGCACACCCUUUGCGUAUGAACGUUACCUAAACUACUUUUUCAAUUUUAUCAAAUUCUCGAAGGAAAUAAACAUUUUUAAUAUUAUCAA